GACGAACGCUGGCGGCGUGCCUAAUACAUGCAAGUCGAGCGGACGAAUCGAAAGCUUGCUUUUGAUUCGUUAGCGGCGGACGGGUGAGUAACACGUGGGCAACCUGCCCUGUAGACGGGGAUAACACCGAGAAAUCGGUGCUAAUACCGGAUAACACGAAAUGUCGCAUGACGUUUCGUUGAAAGACGGCGCACGCUGUCGCUACAGGAUGGGCCCGCGGCGCAUUAGCUAGUUGGUGAGGUAACGGCUCACCAAGGCGACGAUGCGUAGCCGACCUGAGAGGGUGAUCGGCCACACUGGGACUGAGACACGGCCCAGACUCCUACGGGAGGCAGCAGUAGGGAAUCUUCCGCAAAGGACGAAAGUCUGACGGAGCAACGCCGCGUGAGCGAAGAAGGCCUUCGGGUCGUAAAGCUCUGUUGUUAGGGAAGAACAAGUAACGCAGUAACUGGCGUUACCGUGACGGUACCUAACGAGAAAGCCACGGCUAACUACGUG
rnacentral:rRNA from 1 species